AAGUCGUAACAAGGUUUCCGUAGGUGAACCUGCGGAAGGAUCAUUAUCGAGUUCGUGCCCUUCGGGGUAGACCUCCCACCCCUGUUUACCUUACCUAUGUUGCUUCGGGCCGUCGUCAGACUACCGGCUUCGGCUGGUACGUGCCCGCCAGAGACCCCCCAACCCUCAAUUAUCAGUGUCGUCCGAGUACUAUCUUAAUAGUUAAAACUUUCAACAACGGAUCUCUUGGUUCUGGCAUCGAUGAAGAACGCAGCGAAAUGCGAUAAGUAAUGCGAAUCGCAGAAUUCAGUGAGUCAUCGAAUCGUUGAACGCACAUUGCGCCCCUUGGCAUUCCGAGGGGCAUGCCUGUCCGAGCGUCAUUAGACCCCUCAAGCUCGGCUUGGUACUGGGCCCUGCUGGCAACGGCAGGCCUUAAAUCUAGUGGCGGCGCCGCUGGGCUCUGAGCGUAGUAAUUAUCACAUCGCUACUGGGCCUGGCGAGGGCUGACCAGCAACCUCAUCUAUCAUGGUUGACCUCGGAUCAGGUAGGAAUACCCGCUGAACUUAAGCAUAUCAAUAAGCGGAGGAAAAGAAACCAACAGGGACUGCCUCAGUAACGGCGAGUGAAGCGGCAACAGCUCAAAUUUGAAAUCUGGCCUUCUCAGGGUCCGAGUUGUAAUUUGGAGAAGAUGCUUCGGGUGUGGUGCCGGUCUAAGUUCCUUGGAACAGGACGUCACAGAGGGUGAGAUCCCGUAUGCGACUGCGUGCCUACGCUCAUGUGAAGCUCUUUCGACGAGUCGAGUUGUUUGGGAAUGCAGCUCAAAAUGGGUGGUAAAUUUCAUCUAAAGCUAAAUAUUGGCCAGAGACCGAUAGCGCACAAGUAGAGUGAUCGAAAGAUGAAAAGCACUUUGGAAAGAGAGUUAAACAGUACGUGAAAUUGUUGAAAGGGAAGCGCUUGCAACCAGACUUGCACGCGGUCGAUCAUCCGAGGUUCUCUUCGGUGCACUCGAUCGCGUUCAGGCCAGCAUCGGUUCCGGUGGUCGGAUAAAGGCCCGUGGAAUGUAGCUCCUCUCGAGGAGUGUUAUAGCCUCGGGCGUCAUGCGACCCACUGGGACCGAGGACCGCGCUUCGGCUAGGAUGCUGGCGUAAUGGUUGUAAGCGACC
rnacentral:rRNA from 1 species